rnacentral:rRNA from 1 species
UGCCAGAGGUUACUGCUAUCGAGGUUCGACUAAGCCAUGCGAGUCGAAUGUAGCAAUACAUGGCGAACUGCUCAGUAACACGUGGACAACCUGCCCUUAGGACGGGGAUAAACCCGGGAAACUGGGUAUAAUACCCGAUAGGUCUCGAUUGCUGGAAUGCAUCGAGAUUUAAAGCUCCGGCGCCUAAGGAUGGGUCUGCGGCCUAUCAGGUAGUAGUGGGUGUAGCGUACCUACUAGCCUACGACGGGUACGGGUUGUGAGAGCAAGAGCCCGGAGAUGGAUUCUGAGACACGAAUCCAGGCCCUACGGGGUGCAGCAGGCGCGAAAACUUUACAAUGCUGGCAACAGCGAUAAGGGAACCUCGAGUGCCAGGUUACAAAUCUGGCUGUCGAGAUGCCUAAAAAGCAUUUCAUAGCAAGGGCCGGGCAAGACCGGUGCCAGCCGCCGCGGUAACACCGGCGGCUCGAGUGGUAACCGUUAUUAUUGGGUCUAAAGGGUCUGUAGCCGGCCGGAUAAGUCUCUUGAGAAAUCUGGCAGCUUAACUGUCAGGCUUUCAGGAGAUACUGUCUGGCUCGAGGCCGGGAGAGGUGAGAGGUACUUCAGGGGUAGGGGUGAAAUCUUGUAAUCCUUGAAGGACCACCAGUGGCGAAGGCGUCUCACCAGAACGGACCUGACGGCAAGGGACGAAAGCUAGGGGCACGAACCGGAUUAGAUACCCGGGUAGUCCUAGCCGUAAACGAUACUCGCUAGGUGUCGGCCACGGUGCGACCGU